rnacentral:rRNA from 1 species
UACGGAGGGCUCGAGCGUUAUUCGGAUUUACUGGGCGUAAAGGGCGCGUAGGCGGGGUCGUGGGUCGGCCGUGAAAUCCACCGGCUCAACCGGUGAACUGCGGUCGAAACUGCGGCUCUUGAGCUUGGUAGAGGAAGACGGAACUCCUGGUGUAGCGGUGGAAUGCGUAGAUAUCAGGAAGAACACCGGUAGCGAAGGCGGUCUUCUGGGCCAUAGCUGACGCUGAGGCGCGAAAGCUGGGGGAGCGAACAGGAUUAGAUACCCGCGUA